rnacentral:misc_RNA from 1 species
CUUCUCCAGCCGCUCCUCCUCUCUCCUCCCUCCAUCUCCAGCGCUCGGCCCCCAACCCCAACGCCCAGCUGAGCCCUUCCCCAGCCGCGAACUCCCCUGCCUUCCAUGGCCGCACGUCUGGCAUCCGCUCCCUCAGCACGCGCGCGCCUGCGUCCUGCGCCGCGGCUCCCUCGAGCUCCCUGCCAUGGCCGCCAUCUCCCAUGGACGCUGCGCACUAGCCGCCUGCUCUAUCGUCGCGCCCCAAGCUCCCUCUGCCCGUCUCCAUGGCGCGCCCUCCCUGCGCAGCUUCCUCGCUGUUCGCUGUCGGCGCCCUGUCCAUGGCCACGCCCAGCUCCUUGCUCCUCCCACUCGCCCGGCCUCGAGCUUCUCCCUGCGCGCGCGAAGCUCUCUGCUCACCGGCGUUUCUCCCUGCUUCCUGAUCCACUUAGCGCUUCCUGCUUUUUCCCUGGUCGCCCAUGGCGCCAACUCUGGUCAUCCCUGCCCCCUCGCAGAUCGCCGCUAUGCCACUGUCAGGCUGCCGGACGCGCACCCUUGCCAUCUGCCUGCUGGAGCCCCAUCGCGUCGUCACGGUCUCGCCGGAUUUCCGCCUCCGUGUUGCGCCCAUGGAUUCGGCUGUGUGUUUCCUCCCAGGUCGGCCUCCACUUCAAGCCGCGUCCGCGACGUGCCCGUCGAACCCCAGCAAAAGCCUGAACCAGGGUCUCAUCAUUGCUUUCGUGAAGUUCAAGCUGGAUAUAUAAUUUUGGAAGUAGAUUUGGUGCUGAAGCCGAACCCAGCAUCCCUCUUAUUCUUCGUCGUCAAUCCACACCGCGUCCACGACGUGCCUGUCGAUCCCGACGAUCUAUCUGCCAGUUGCGCGCCACUUGUGAUGAGCUCCAAAGUCCUUUGUCGUGCUCGACCUUGGAAGCCUCCAACUCGUCAACAUCCCUUGUGUCGUCGAAAAAUCUAGAGAUUUUGGAUAAAGCAACAAAUCCCGCGUGAUGCUCACCAUGUGCUCGGCGUAGUGGCAGAACCGGGAAUCGUAGCUGUGCUCGUGGCCUUCAAGACGGUUAAAUCAUUGGUACGAUAAUUAAUCAUGUGAUGCGGAGGACCAGAACUGAGUCGACCACAAGAUGAUGCUGAUGGACGGAACUGAAGAUGGACAGGCGAAACAAAUAUCAGAACAAAAGAUGGUCGCGAAGUGGUCACACCUAACAAACACUAACGUAAUGUUUAUUCCAGGCAAGCCCCGGUGCAUUUGCCACCUCCUUGUUGUUUUAAAAUCUUUAUCACCUUAUAUGAUGCAUUAGGUGAUAGGAGUUGUGUGCUAAACAAUUGAUGCAUUUCCUUCCUUGGAAAAUUGAUUACCCUUCCUUGAUACCUUUUAUGAAAAGAAUUUUAUGAUGCUUAGCCUUGCUCUAGAAAACAAAAUGUUUUGUUUUAAAACAAAAGUGAUGCUUCACAGUGGAUGGUAAUUUUUACAAAAGAAAAUACUUAUGAUGGUGAAUCCAUCAAAGGCCUUGAUGGGUUUAACAUCUGAAAAGAUGUACCUCUGCCAGGUACUAAACUUUGGGUUUUAAAUAAUAAAGCUGAGACCGGGCGGUUGACUUGCACGAGAAGGGAGUCUCGGUGUAGUGUCUCCGUCUGAGUCGAUUAAGGACCGUGUCGAUGUAGGCCUGAUGAUCGAGGACCUUUUAACUGGCCACAUGCCUCGUCAUGGGUAAGCUUUGCCUUGGGCAGACUAAUACCAGGAAGGCCAACACGCAAUGGGAGUGGAGAGAUGGCGAGAGUAGCGUGUACCCUCCGUGGCAAGAGGUUGGACGGUGGUGUAUCUAUGCUCUCGGUUGGCAUGAACCCGGUCUGGUCUUAAGAAACCCGGUGGCGAGUUGACAUAUGCAAGGGUUAAGUGCUACAUAUGUCGUGUGGUUGGAGAUCCCCAGCUAGGCAUUAAUUGAUUCGGAUCGCUGUUACUUCUCGGAUAUGAAGACUUGGUCACUGACUUACACGUAGCAAUCCAGUGAACUGAUGGGAUGAUAAAAGAUGGCUAGUGUAGGCCAAGUGCUUGAACUAGGGUAGAAAGAACUCUAGAUGUAGGUAAUUUUACUUAACCUGACAAAUAAAAAUGGAUUUUUAAGGAUCCAUUCAUAGUAAGCUUUUAUG